rnacentral:misc_RNA from 1 species
UUCUUUCACAUGCAAAAGUAACUUCGUUCUACAAAAAUAUGAAGAAAUUGUUGUUUGCUGAUACAUACAUACAAAGUCCUGGUAGUAUAUUUAAUACUUCUCUUAUAACUCGCAAAAGCUCCGAUAAUAUAUAAAGCCUUUGGAGGUCAGACUCAUUUUCCACAGUUGAAACCUUUGCAAACAGAUAGGACUAUGAUGAGGAUUAACGCAAUCAGUAUACCCAAAACAAUCAGCUUGAUCUUCAUAUUCUGCAGCCACAUUUUCCUACGAAUCUUUGUCCCUGUGCUUCGAAAGUCUUGUGCCUGUUGAUGAAGGUUCUGAGUCUUAUCCACCAGAAGUUCAAUUUUCUCCCCUCUAUCUAAAACCUUUUCAAUAUUCUCCAUCAUGACCCCUUUAACUUCUGAAACCUGAGCUUGCACUUUUGCAAGCUUGCUUAUCUCUUCAGGAUGAUCAGCACAAUAUUGCAUAUUUUCCUUUAGCUUUGGCCCAAAUUCCUUGUCAAGGCUUUUGGCUGGAGCAGUGGAAGCUUUUCCACUGCCAUAUUUUGUCAUGAAGUCUUCCCUGACACGCUCCAGAAAAGCCAUAGGAACUUGUCUUCCUGC